AAUUGCCUCGCGUCUCUCCAGCAUGGCUGGCAGAUCCGAGGCUGUGAAAUGUGAAUUCCUGAGCCUGUGGCCGCUGGGAGCGGUGGAGACGUGGAGCAGAAAGCCCAUGCAUGACUGCCCUCUUUAGGGAGGCCGGGUAACUGUCCGAGUACAUGGAGGCUUGGAAAGCUUUGGAGACGGCGCAAAAUGCAACCACGUCUCCUUUUACGCACGGAUCUCCAGGGCGCACAGAAACACUGCGAUCAGCAUUUUGUUGCUGCUGUUUAGAGCUGGAGAGCUGCAGCUUUUAUCAAGACAAAACAUGGAACAUUGUAGUUCGUCGCAGUGAUUGCAGGCUUCGGCUGUCCUCUUUAAACACACGCUGACCGCGGAGUGAACCAUCAGGUAUAAUGAAUGGAGCAGAAACGUGUUCCAGAGCAGUGGAGGUGUCCACACAGGCCUGUCUUCCUCCCACAAGGCACAUAUGUUUGCGCGUUUGUGGCUCAGUGAGGGAAACCCAGACCAGGAGGCUGUGCGUUUCAUACGAGACGGUUAAAUCUCGAUCAUUCAGAAAACAACUGGACCGAUCACAAACACAGAGCUCAGAUAGUUUUUCCAGCAUCUUCCCACUUUAUGAAAUCAGUCUGAAGCAGAAUCCAGAUGAGACGCUGGCCUGUGAACACCUCAGAGGACAGACUUUCUAGAACCUCCUCCUAGGAAGGUCCGUCGCGUGGCAGCUGGUUCUGAAACAAAAGGAGGCACAAAAAAAAAAAAAAAAAAGCUCCAACAAUCUGUUGGUGGAGAAAAAGAGAGCCGGGGAGCAAAAAGAAUCGAGAAAGACUGUUGAGGGCCAUUUUGGAUGUCAUCUGUCUCCUUGGCGACGGGGCCCCGGCCCUCAAAAGCCCCUUGGGCGCGCGGAUUGUUUGAGAGGAGCCCGCUAUUUUCUGCAGCAUCAUUUAUCACUGUCACCACAUAAUGAUUCCCCUCGCAGCUCCUUAUUGAUGUUUGUAAUUGCAUUAUCUCAUAAGGGGGGGGGGGGGAUGAUCAAUGGAGCCGAGAGGAGCACAGAGGGGUCAGGAGAUGCCGGAUUGCUGUUUGUCCAUUUAAUGCAAGCAGGCUCUCAUUAUCUGGAGCCUCUCCAGCCUGUACUGCUCUCCUCUAAGGUUGUUUUUUUUUUUUCUGCUGUGAUGAGAGGAAGAAGACGAUGGAAAAAGGGAGGCAAACAGUUGGUUUGAUUUGUUUAACCCCUGCACGUCACCGAUAAACAAUAGAAAUGUCGAGAAAAUCCAGGUGAAGGGGAGAAUUACUGCUGUGAAUGUGAGGAAACGAGGCUAAAGUAGCUUUGGAGUUCUCUUUGUCUGAAGUUGCUCCAUGUUUUGUGAUGAUUACAGCCGCGGCUCUGAGGGUUUAAAUGGACCGUUAGCCGGCUGAGGGGAGCUGAGGACUCACAAGUCGGACUCAGUUUUCUUUUAGCUGAGCAAGUUCAUUUGGAACGGAAACGUUCUGAGGUUCAAGACGCACUAACUGAACAGCUGCUGAAGAAACCGGAUGGUUACACUUAAUGCUUCUCACCACAGUGUCUGUUGUUGGAAUGUAAAAUGAACUGAUUGUUUUUGUUAAUUAAAA